rnacentral:tRNA from 1 species
GCCCGGCUAGCUCAGUCGGUAGAGCAUGAGAAAUGGUACUCUUAAUCUCAGGGUGGUCGUGGGUUCGAGCCCCACGUUGGGCG